UAACUUGAGUUUUUGACUUGUCCACACUGAAAAAACGGGAAAAGUGGGGUUGUUCAAUUUACAAAUAGUAAACAUGUUUGUUUAAUAUGAACAAAUUAUGUUUACCUUCGAAACAUAAUAUAAUCUUGAAAAUCACACAUAAUUUCUUGCUGAGUUACUUUUAUAUAUUUAAAUCAUGUUGACAAAACAUGAAAUAGUUAUGCUUGAUCCUUUGCCCCUUAAUUUUGGAUAAGUAAACCCCAUCGGUGAAGAAGAAUUCCAGGAGGGGAAACUUUGCAGUCAGCCAUUUUAGAGAAGCUACAAGCACCUGCUCUGGCUGGAGGAACUUUAAAAAGAGCUCAUCACACAACACUUCCAACUGCUCCUCCCUGAUCAUGCUGGGGUCCAUGCUCCAGUCUUCACUGAGUCAGACUGCUGAACUUCUCGCCAAUAUAAGCAAGUUCAGGGGUUUAUUCAAAGUAUAGAAUGAAGACCAUGCAGCAAUCCAGGAGGCAAUCGAGGACACCACGGUGGGAAUUUCCCUCCUAAUGGAAACUGGCAGUGGUGAGGAAGAGGACAUUCUUGUGGUCCACAUCUCCCAGGCUGUGGUGGUCGACCCACCAAGUGUCUGAGUGGCAGAUGCCAAGGCUUUUUUGGCCUUAUUUACAGCACAAAUCUGAUUACCAUCCUCAUCUCAGAAACACCUUGUCAUGGGGCCCGUGGCUUUGCUCCUGCUAUGAUCUCCUGGAGGCCCUUCCCUUCUUGAGCUCUCCCGCUGGUCACAGGUGUUGUGUAUUAUGUUGAUUGGUUUGUCUAUUUAUGCAGUGUCUGAUCUUGUUUCUGUGUCGGAGCGUCUUCGUUCUACGCUCUGGUGUUAUGGUUCUCUGGCAUUAAAGCCCCUUCGAGUGAACUAUUGGAUUUGGGUCGUUCUUCCUGCUCUUGGGUUCUCUCCCUUGGACAUUCCGUCACACACCUUUGAGGUAAUCCAAAAAAAAACUGUAUUAGAGUUGUAAGGCAAAGUGGUGUCUAAGGUUUCAGGCUUAAAGAUCCGACUCUUUGAAUAAAAUGACCUUUAAAUAGUUUAACUUUUUCCUAAGAAGGGAUUCCAGCUGUUUGCUUUGGCUCUGUUAUCUUCUGUUUAAUAAAAAUGGCAAGCCCAA